AAACAACUGUUCUCGUGCGAUCACUGAAGAUAAGCAGUAUCGAGCCUAGUCAGUAUCUAGAUGGGUGACCACUUGGAAAUAUUAGGGAGUCGUAA